UUCGUUUGAAAAACGUUAGUUUUAUUUUUGUCUUAACGAAUGGGUGUUUAAAUGUGUGUGUGUGUUUAAAUUUCUUAAGCUUCGUUGCAAAUCGUUAAAUGAUGUUGGUAGAAAGAAAUACAGAAAAGUGUAUGGACAGACAAGCAAAAGCCUUAGAUUUUCUUGUGGCUAAAAAGACGAGCUGAAAAUGCGUUUUUGUUUCGUUUAAAAUUAAUAUGGGCAAGUGUUACUAGGAGUUUGUCUGUGUGUGUGUGUGUCUGUGUGGCUCACUUACAAGAAGAAACUCUUAUUGGUGGCAUUUUGAAAGAUAGACCAAUGAAGAAGUAACCUGCAUGCUAGACGAGCAUUCAGUUUACUAACGGCGACCUUGAUGGUCAUACAAAGCGCGUGUAAAGAAAACCGAAAAAAACGCCUAAAAGAAAACCGCUAGAAAUAAAAACAAAUUAAAAAUAUAAUAAUUAUUAACUAAAGGUGCUUAAGAAGAAAUGUUGUGUUGUAUAAAUGUAUAAGUACUUUUUUGUAUCUGUGUAUGAUUAUUGCUUGAUAAUCAUAACUGUGCUUAUGUUUCCGCAUUUGAGAUAAAACAACAACAGCAACAGCAACUGCAGCAACAAUUUACAAUUUCUUCUUCGUUAGUUUUUCAAUCCACUCUAUAACACUUGGUGGCUCUUUAACUGAAUGUUGCAUAUCAAAUGUAGUUAAAAAUAAAACAGCAAAAAAAAAAUCGGAAAAAAAUAACGCGAUAGCGUGCUUGCGUGUCUGUUGCAAGUACCUUAGCCAAACACCACACACGUACAUAACACAGACAUCUUUACGCCACUAACUUUAUUGUGUUUAUUUUUUUCCUCUCCAACAGCUGCUAAUAAAAGGGCAAUUGUUUUGUUUAGUUUUUUUCGGAAUUUUUUGUUUGUGCAACAUAUACAACAAAAAAGAAAAAACUAUAUUACACCUCUCUUAAAGUUUGUUGAACAUAAUAACAACAAUAAUAAUAAUUCGUAUAUGCUCAUAUACAUAUGCCGCAUAACUUUAACAACAACAAAUUCUAAAACUAAAUACAAUUGUUACAACAGCAGCAACAACAACUAAUACCAACAUCCAGCUAACAAUAAGGCAAAAUAACAAGUGUAACAUUUUUUUGAAAAAAUAAAAAAAAAAUACUGAGAAAAAACCAGCAGCAUUAUUAACAAAAAAAUCUGCUCACAAA